rnacentral:rRNA from 1 species
AGAGUUUGAUCCUGGCUCAGAACGAACGCUGGCGGCGUGCCUAACACAUGCAAGUCGUACGAGAAAAUCCGCUUCGGCGGGUGAGUAGAGUGGCGCACGGGUGAGUAACGCGUGGAUAAUCUGCCUUUAAGCUGGGAAUAACUCACCGAAAGGUGGGCUAAUACCCGAUAAUGCUAUGGGACUUCGGUUUUAUAGCCAAAGAGAGCCUCUACAUGUAAGCCUUCACUUAAAGAUGAGUCCGCGUACCAUUAGCUAGUUGGUAGGGUAAUGGCCUACCAAGGCGACGAUGGUUAGCUGGUCUGAGAGGAUGAUCAGCCACACUGGAACUGAGACACGGUCCAGACUCCUACGGGAGGCAGCAGUGAGGAAUAUUGCGCAAUGGGGGCAACCCUGACGCAGCAACGCCGCGUGAGUGAGGAAGGUCUUCGGAUCGUAAAGCUCUGUCGGGUGGGAAGAAGUGUGCAUAGGUUAAUAGCUUGUGCACUUGACGGUACCGCCAAAGGAAGCACCGGCUAACUCCGUGCCAGCAGCCGCGGUAAUACGGGGGGUGCGAGCGUUGUUCGGAAUCAUUGGGCGUAAAGAGCGUGUAGGCGGCUAGGCAAGUCAGAUGUGAAAUCCCUGGGCUUAACCCAGGAAGUGCAUUUGAAACUGCUUAGCUUGAGUAAGGAAGAGGGAAGUGGAAUUCCUGGUGUAGAGGUGAAAUUCGUAGAUAUCAGGAGGAACACCGGUGGCGAAGGCGACUUCCUGGUCCUAUACUGACGCUGAGACGCGAGAGCGUGGGGAGCAAACAGGAUUAGAUACCCUGGUAGUCCACGCCGUAAACGAUGUUCACUAGGUGUUGAGGGUAUUGACCCCUUCAGUGCCGAAGCUAACGCAUUAAGUGAACCGCCUGGGGAGUACGGUCGCAAGAUUAAAGCUCAAAGGAAUUGACGGGGGCCCGCACAAGCGGUGGAGCAUGUGGUUUAAUUCGAUGCAACGCGAAGAACCUUACCAGGGUUUGACAUGCUGGUGGUAGAAGCCCGAAAGGGUGACGACCUUCGGUUUUCCGAGGGAGCCAGCACAGGUGCUGCAUGGUUGUCGUCAGCUCGUGUCGUGAGAUGUUGGGUUAAGUCCCGCAACGAGCGCAACCCUUACCCUUAGUUGCGACCAGGUUAUGCUUGAGCACUCUAAGGGGACUGCCGGUGACAAACCGGAGGAAGGUGGGGAUGACGUCAAAUCCGCAUGGCCCUUAUGUCCUGGGCGACACACGUGCUACAAUGGCCAGUACAGAGGGUUGCGAACCCGCGAGGGGGAGCCAAUCCCAAAAAGCUGGCCCCAGUUGGGAUUGCAGGCUGCAACUCGCCUGCAUGAACGCGGAAUCGCUAGUAAUCGCGUAUCAGCUACGGCGCGGUGAAUGCGUUCCCGGGCCUUGUACUCACCGCCCGUCA